UGGUGGAGUGAUUUGUCUGGUUAAUUCCGAUAACGAACGAGACUCUGUCCUGCUAACUAGGUUGUGUUUUCUCGGGUUGGUGUUUCUGGUGUUCCUUCUCGGGGCGCCGGCCCAAUCCACUUGUGAACACAACACUCUUCUUAGAGGGACUGGCGGCUGUUAGCCGCACGAGGUAGAGCAAUAACA
rnacentral:rRNA from 1 species